rnacentral:misc_RNA from 1 species
AAGUCGUAACAAGGUUUUCCGUAGGUUGAAUCCUUGCGGAAGGAUCAUUAUUGAAUUGUGAAUGGGGCUUCGACGCUGGCAUUGUCCAUCCCUUUGGCUGCAUGUGCUGCGCCCCAGCAAUCCUUUUCCAAACACCUGUGCACCUUCCUUGUGAGAAUGGGAGAGAAAGGGCUUGCCUCUUUUAUCUCGUCUCAUGAUUCAUAAACGCUGUUUGUAAUGUUGAAUGCAUUUAUGCCGUCAAGGCUUUAACCUAAUACAAC